CUGUGACCUCACUGCUCACUUUGGAGAUCACCAGAACACUUUGAUCUCUCCCUGUUUUGCAGGUGGAUGAUCACAGGCAGUUCACUUCAUCUCCCCUUGCUUUGAUUUCUGCACCUGCAGGAGCAGCCUUUUAGAGCAGACUAACCUGAGUGGGAAAAAUACCUCACAGCAGUCCCAG
rnacentral:lncRNA from 12 species